CAAAGAGUGACCAAAAUUUCUGAUCUAAUCAUCCAAGAAGGCGCUCAAGGGGACCUUCAAGAGGAACUCGAAGUGGACGCCUAGACACUUGUUUGAGUAUUUACUCUCUUGUUGCAAUAGGACUGGGCUCGGUCGGGUAGGUUGGAA